CCUACGGGUGGCAGCAGUGGGGAAUAUUGGGCAAUGGGCGCAAGCCUGACCCAGCAACGCCGCGUGAAGGAAGAAGGCCCUCGGGUUGUAAACCUCUUUUAUCAAGGACGAAACAAAUGACGGUACUUGAUGAAUAAGCCACGGCUAAAUAAGUGACAGAAGCCGAGGUAAUACGUAGGUGGCAAGCGUUAUCCGGAUUUACUAGGUGUAAAGGGAGUGUAGGCGGGACUGCAAGUCAGAGUUGAAAACCAUGGGCUCAACCCAUGUGCUGCAUUUGAAACUGUCGUUCUUGAGUGUUGGAGGGGCAGGCGGAAUUCCGUGUGUAGCGGUGAAAUGCGUAGAUAUAAGGAGGAACACCAGUGGCGAAGGCGGCCUGCUGGACAAUAACUGACGCUGAGGCGCGAAAGCGUGGGGAGCAAACAGGAUUAGAUACCCUUGUAGUC
rnacentral:rRNA from 1 species